AAAAAGGCAAACCUUGAAUUUUCGUGUUCAACUUUGACUGUCCGUCUUAUAUAAAAUAUUUUUAUAAUUCGUAUUUUCAUUAUUGUUAGAUGAUAAAACAUGAUUAAUAUUUUAUACGUGACUUAUCUUUUUAAUUUUUUUAUAAUUUUUUUAAAUAACAUGGAAACCAGAGUUUGUC
rnacentral:pre_miRNA from 1 species